UACGGCGAGUGAACCGGGAAGAGCUCAAAUUUGAAAUCUGGCGUGCUCAGUGCGUCCGAGUUGUAAUCUAUAGAGUCGUUUUCCGUGCCGGACUGUGUCCAAGUCCCUUGGAACAGGGUAUCAAAGAGGGUGAUAAUCCCGUACUUGACACAAUGACCGGUGCUCUGUGAUACGUCUUCUACGAGUCGAGUUGUUUGGGAAUGCAGCUCAAAAUGGGUGGUGAGUUCCAUCUAAAGCUAAAUAUUGGCGAGAGACCGAUAGCGAACAAGUACCGUGAGGGAAAGAUGAAAAGCACUUUGGAAAGAGAGUUAAACAGUACGUGAAAUUGUUAAAAGGGAAACGAUUGAAGUCAGUCGUGACUGAGAGGCUCAGCCGGUUCUGCCGGUGUAUUCCCCUCAGUCGGGUCAACAUCAGUUUUGUUCGGUGGAUAAGGGCAGUUGGAAGGUGGCACCCUCGGGUGUGUUAUAGCCAGCUGUCGCAUACAUCGGAUGAGACUGAGGAAUGCAGCUCGCCUUUAUGGCCGGGGUUCGCCCACGUUCGAGCUUAGGAUGUUGACAUAAUGGCUU
rnacentral:rRNA from 1 species